rfam:Oryctolagus cuniculus chromosome 15, whole genome shotgun sequence.
GGUGCUGUGGCUCAGUGGGUUAAAGCCCUGGCCUGAAGCACCAGCAUCCCAUAUAGGUGCUGGUUCGAGUCCCAGCUGCUCCA